rnacentral:lncRNA from 1 species
UGGUGUAUUUACUGUCUUCUGAUUGGUUAAAAUUAUUAGUUUUAUUUUCAAUGUUGUCAAUUUUGAUGGCGACAGGCCCACUCUGACGUUGAGUAUUCAUACGCCAACAUGCGCUAAUUUUGUUAAUACAAAUUAUAUAAAAAGUUCUUUGAGCCAUAUAUAUUUUUGAUAGAAAUUUAUUUAUAAUGAAUGGCAAUAAUUUAUUUUGAUUUUAUUGAAU